CAGCAACUUGCCAUUCCAAGUCGGAUCUUCAUAUGCUGCACUCACUCGAAUUCUUCUGACAAUUUCAUCUGGACAUCUUGUAGCUCUCUCAAAACUGGCUGGAGUGAGAGAUCCAGUGGAUGUUUCAACCAAGAAGCCAUUGAAGAUUGGGUAUGCAUUCCCUUGAGAAUCUCUCUUGGUGUUAUGCCCAAGGACAAAGAGAGUUUGAAUGUGAAACUUUUCUCGUCUCUUCUCCAUAGUUUCAAUCAUUUUUUUGCAUAAUGGAAAAGAAUAACCAUCUGAUUUCGCAUGGCUUUCAGACC
rnacentral:misc_RNA from 1 species